rnacentral:sRNA from 1 species
GGAAAGUGCUCACAUACAAAUUAAGAAGUUCAGCUCUGUCUCAGGAGAUGGGGUGUCGGUGUCCCUGGUCGACAAGAACAGACGUCUCCUCGUCAUCAGUGGACUCUUGGCUAAGUGGUGUCGUCAUCAGCAUCUCCCCGCUGUGGGAGUCCAUCCAUCCUAAGUCAGCAGCAGAGCGUGCCUGGGGCGUGAGCAGUUGGAGGGACCGACCAGUGGAGUGUGCGUGUCGGAAGGCAGUCUACAUGAGUGGCUACCACACUGGCUACUAUAUGGGUUUCAGACAAAAUAAAAAAGAA